GAUGAAGAACGCAGCGAAAUGCGAUAAGUAAUGUGAAUUGCAGAAUUCAGUGAAUCAUCGAAUCUUUGAACGCACAUUGCGCCCGUCAGUAUUCUGGCGGGCAUGCCUGUUCGAGCGUCAUUACGCCCCUCAAGUCCCCUGUGGACUUGGUGUUGGGGAUCGGCGAGGCUGGUUUUCCAGCACAGCCGUCCCUUAAAUUAAUUGGCGGUCUCGCCGUGGCCCUCCUCUGCGCAGUAGUAAAACACUCGCAACAGGAGCCCGGCGCGGUCCACUGCCGUAAAACCCCCCAACUUUUUAUAGUUGACCUCGAAUCAGGUAGGCCUACCCGCUGAACUUAAGCAUAUCAAUAAGCGGAGGA
rnacentral:misc_RNA from 1 species